AUUGAACGCUGGCGGCAUGCCUUACACAUGCAAGUCGAACGGCAGCACGGGAGCAAUCCUGGUGGCGAGUGGGCGAACGGGUGAGUAAUAUAUCGGAACGUGCCCAGUCGUGGGGGAUAACGUAGCGAAAGCUACGCUAAUACCGCAUACGAUCUAUGGAUGAAAGCGGGGGAUCGCAAGACCUCGCGCGAUUGGAGCGGCCGAUAUCAGAUUAGGUAGUUGGUGAGGUAAAGGCUCACCAAGCCGACGAUCUGUAGCUGGUCUGAGAGGACGACCAGCCACACUGGGACUGAGACACGGCCCAGACUCCUACGGGAGGCAGCAGUGGGGAAUUUUGGACAAUGGGCGCAAGCCUGAUCCAGCAAUGCCGCGUGCAGGAUGAAGGCCUUCGGGUUGUAAACUGCUUUUGUACGGAACGAAACGGUGAGCUCUAAUACAGUUUGCUAAUGACGGUACCGUAAGAAUAAGCACCGGCUAACUACGUG
rnacentral:rRNA from 1 species